AUGACUAGAGGACCCCGGGAUCUAGGAUUAGCGAUGCAAGCCACCAUUUUACAUAGGUGUUGGGAUUGGAACUCAAGUGCCCGUGCUUGUGCAGGAAGCAUUUUACCCACUGUGUCGUCUCCCCAGCCCUUCACAUGCUGCUUGCUAUGUUUUGACUGGAUCCCAAGUACUGCCCUGCUCAAGGCUAAGUCUCAUUUCCAUCCAAGGGCGAAGGAAGCUAAGGCUGGGAAAGCCAAGCAGAGGCAUGGUCAUCUUUCCAAGCUCAGACCAAAUAUCAACAUCUCUGAAAAGGCCUCCAUCUUUUCCUGUAGCUGACAGAACUUCCUAAAGAUGACUGCAGCAACGUCUCCCAGACUUCUCUGCUCUGAACAUCUGUACAAGAGAUACCAUGUCAGCCAGGCACAGCACUUAACUCUCCUGAAAGUCAACUACCACAUAAAAAGUGCAUCUACCCUGAGACCACCCAGCUGCCAGCAUUGGGCAUCAGACCCGGCAGUGAACAAGCCAUGCAUGGGGUGUAGAGAUGGAUGCAUGAGAAAGCAACAGAGGCAGAGUGUGCGGUGUAGGCGGAGUGUGCGAUGUAGAUGGAGUGUGCGGUGUAGGCGGAAUGUGUGCUGUAGGCUCUAGGUUCGGGGCAUGAAGCUUGCUGUGCAUUUUCUUUGUUUUUUGUUGUUGUUGUUGUUGUUUGUUUGUUUUGUUUUGUUUUUACAAAACCUGGAGAUUGUGAUGGUUUGAAUAUGCUUGGUCCAGGAAGUGGCACUAUUAGGAGGUGUGGCCUUGUUGGAGGAAAGUUUUUGUUGUGGGUGUGGGCUUUAAGACUCUCAUCCUCCGGGCGUGGUGGCACACGCCUUUAAUCCCAGCACUCGAGAGGCAGAGGCAGGCAGAUUUCUGAGUUCGAGGCCAGCCUGGUCUACAGAGUGAGUUCCAGGACAGCCAGGGCUACACAGAGAAACCCUGUCUUGAAAAACAAAACAAACAAAUAAACAAAAAACAAAAACCA
rnacentral:lncRNA from 1 species